GGGGUUGUAGCUCAGUGGUAGAGUGCUUGUCUGGCACUUAUGAGGCUGGGAUCGAUCUUCAGCACCA
rnacentral:tRNA from 1 species